rnacentral:rRNA from 1 species
AUACGUAGGGGGCGAGCGUUGUCCGGAAUGAUUGGGCGUAAAGGGCGCGUAGGCGGCCCGGUAAGUCUGGAGUGAAAGUCCUGUUUUUAAGAUGGGAAUUGCUUUGGAUACUGUCGGGCUUGAGUGCCGGAGAGGUAAGUGGAAUUCCCAGUGUAGCGGUGAAAUGCGGAGAGAUUGGGAGGAACACCAGUGGCGAAGGCGACUUACUGGACUGUAACUGACGCUGAGGCGCGAAAGCGUGGGGAGCAAACAGGAUUAGAUACCCUGGUAGUCCACACUGUAAACGAUGAAUGCUAGGUGUAGGGGGUAUCGACCCCUUCUGUGCCGCAGUCAACACAAUAAGCAUUCCGCCUGGGGAGUACGGCCGCAAGGUUGAAACUCAAAUGAAUUGACGGGG